rnacentral:rRNA from 1 species
GCGGCGACCGGCGCACGGGUGCGUAACACGUAUGUAACUUGCCUCUUACAACCGGAUAACACGGUGAAAGUCGUGCUAAUAUGGUAUAGUUUCACAUUUUUGCAUGAGAAGGUGAAUAAAGAUUUAUCGGUAAGAGAUAGACAUGCGGUCCAUUAGAUAGUUGGUGAGGUAACGGCUCACCAAGUCGACGAUGGAUAGGGGGACUGAGAGGUUGACCCCCCACACUGGUACUGAGACACGGACCAGACUCC